rnacentral:rRNA from 1 species
UACGUAGGCAGCAAGCGUUGUUCGGAAUUACUGGGCGUAAAGAGUGUGUAGGCGGUGCUCUAAGUCUGUUGUGAAAUCUCCCGGCUUAACCGGGAGGGUGCGGCGGAAACUGGAGUGCUUGAGGGUGGGAGAGGUAAGCGGAAUUCCUGGUGUAGCGGUGAAAUGCGUAGAUAUCAGGAGGAACACCUGUGGUGUAGACAGCUUACUGGACCACUUCUGACGCUGAGACACGAGAGCGUGGGUAGCAAACAGG